GAUGAAGAACGUAGCGAAAUGCGAUAAGUAAUGUGAAUUGCAGAAUUCAGUGAAUCAUAGAAUCUUUGAACGCACAUUGCGCCCAUUAGUAUUCUAGUGGGCAUGCCUGUUCGAGCGUCAUUAAGUCCACUUAAGCCCUGCUUAGUGUUGGGAGACUGCUCCAGCGGUGCUACCCUGUAGCUACCCUGCAGCUCCUCAAAGACAGCGGCGGAGUUGUGGUAUCCUCUGAGCUUAGUAACUUGUUCUAGCUUUCGAGUACACCACUUCCCCUGCCGUAAAACCCUUAAUUUUUAAUGGUUGACCUCGGAUCAGGUAGGAAUACCCGCUGAACUUAAGCAUAUCAAUAAGCGGAGGA
rnacentral:misc_RNA from 1 species